GCCACUGGUGGGACUGCAGCAUUUUCCACCUCCGCACUGGCUUCACCCGAGAGGAGCGGAGGUUGCCGCUUGGUUCCUCCGCGGUGCGUUUUUUCUUUUUUGGGGGGCGGAGGAACGUUGGCAAGGCGGUAGGCGACUGUUAAGGCGCUGCCUUAGCUAUAAAGCGCUGCGAGAAUCCCUGUUAUGUAUAUCUGCAUGUAGCAAAUUUUCUCCUUGGCACGCACUCCCUCCCAUUAUGCCAGCAUUAACCCAAUGAUUGUAUUUUACAUAUUUAAGUUUUUCCCCCCAACCUGUUGUUGACUGUUGUUUUUAUUUAUAGGGAGGAAACCACAUGCAGUGCAAGCUCUGUUCAUUCACGGGAAACGAGGCAGACCUCAUCCGACACUACGAAUUGCAUCAUCGAAGACCUCAUCAUUGGCCUUGUGUACAUACCACCUGUGUAUGUGUGUUUAGGACUCGGGGAGCUCUGAAAUCCCAUUUAUCCAGAGUUCACAACCCAGCAUAUUAUGUGGGAGGAAAGCUUUGGGUGACGCUGAGAGCACGUUUGUAUUGAAGAAAAUGGUACUGCUACUUCGAGUUGUAAUCUCAAAAGAGGAAGCGCGGCGUGUUCAGCUGUCUCAAGUUCCAGAAACAGUGGAUGCCCUCAUUGAUCUUAUCAAAGAAAAAUUACAACUCCAAGGAGACUUUUCAUUACAGUUUGAGGACCCUGACUUCCAAAAUGCACUCUGCAAUUUGUCAGAUAUUUCAGAGCUACCUGAUAGCCGUGCUGUCCUCCACAUACAGUGGAAAAAAGGCUCUUGGCAUGCCGAAAAUGACAGCCAGUCUCUUGGUUCCAUAUCAUCCUUGGACACUGUGAGCAUGGGCUCUUCUGAAAGCCAGGCAAACAUCCUUUCCCCAGGGUAUCUGUGCAGCCUCUUAGCUUGGCCUGAUCCAUUUCCUAUACCUGCUUUAUCUCUUGAUGUAGAGUUGAAAUUGAGGAGAGGCAAUGAAGCAUA